rnacentral:rRNA from 1 species
CCCGCUGAACUUAAGCAUAUCAAUAAGCGGAGGAAAAGAAACUAACAAGGAUUCCCCUAGUAACUGCGAGUGAAGCGGGAAAAGCUCAAAUUUGAAAUCUGGCUGUCCUAUGGCAGUCCGAGUUGUAAUUUCGAGAAGUGUUGCCCGUGCCGGACCGUGCAUAAGUCCUCUGGAAAGGGGUAUCAUAGAGGGUGACAAUCCCGUCUUUGGUACGGAUUCCCGGUGCAUUGUGGUAUGCUCUCAACGAGUCGAGUUGUUUGGGAAUGCAGCUCAAAAUGGGUGGUAAAUUCCAUCUAAAGCUAAAUAUUGGCGUGAGACCGAUAGCGAACAAGUACCGUGAGGGAAAGAUGAAAAGAACUUUGGAAAGAGAGUUAAACAGUACGUGAAAUUGUCAAUAGGGAAACGCUUGAAGUCAGUCGCGUUGCUCGGGGAUCAGCCUUCCUUUUUGGUUGGUGUACUUCCUGAAUAACGGGUCAGCAUCAGUUUUGACUGCUGGAGAAAGGCUUGGGGAAUGUGGCUCUUUCGGGAGUGUUAUAGCCCUUUGUCAUAUACAGUGGUUGGGACUGAGGAACUCAGUACGCCGCAAGGCAGCUCUUCGGAGACUUUCGUGCUUAGGAUGCUGGCAUAAUGGCUUUAAUCGACCCGUCUUGAAACACGG